GAAAGAAAUAGCGCAAGUUAAUACCUUGUGUUGAUGACGGUACCGUCAGAAGAAGCACCGGCUAACUACGUGCCAGCAGCCGCGGUAAUACGUAGGGUGCGAGCGUUAAUCGGAAUUACUGGGCGUAAAGCGUGCGCAGGCGGUUCUCUAAGACAGGUGUGAAAUCCCCGGGCUUAACCUGGGAAUUGCGCUUGUGACUGGAGGACUAGAGUGUGGAAGAGGGGGAUGGAAUUCCUGGUGUAGCAGUGAAAUGCGUAGAUAUCAGGAGGAACACCGAUGGCGAAGGCAGUCCCCUGGGCCAACACUGACGCUCAUGCACGAAAGCGUGGGGAGCAAACAGGAUUAGAUACCCUGGUAGUCCACGCCCUAAACGAUGUCAACUAGUUGUUGGGGAAGGAGACUUCUUUAGUAACGUAGCUAACGCGUGAAGUUGACCGCCUGGGGAGUACGGCCGCAAGGUUAAAACUCAAAGGAAUUGACGGGGACCCGCACAAGCGGUGGAUGAUGUGGAUUAAUUCGAUGCAACGCGAAAAACCUUACCUACCCUUGACAUGUGAGGAACUUGUGAGAG
rnacentral:rRNA from 1 species